CUGGAACAAAUAUCGAGGAUUUGAAUUUUCAGUCAUCAGCAAUUAGUGAAGGUAUAAAAGCAACAUGUGAAGCACAAAUAUAUGUGUCCUCUAAUCUUAUGUGAAGACUUUCUCCUGAAAUACCGAUCCCUCACUUAAACUUUUGAAAAAUUCGGGAUAUAUUUGGAAAUCAUGCAGUAACUAACUGCAAAAUCAGAACUGCACAACACUCAGCAUGUCAUCAGUCCAGCCAAAAGGACACAACGUUUAAAAUUCAUCAGUCCAUCAGUCAUUGCCGCAUAUCGAUCAGUUUGCCAUGAUUAUCAUUCAGACUGACGGCAGUCUGAUGAGAUACUAAUCGUCUAACGUCAGCCUCAGACGGAAGUUAGCACUCAACUACUACAUUUGAAACAUUUUUUGACACCAUUAUGGCGUACGCUGCAUUUCUCACGCUGUGCAAGCAGUUUGAUUACUAAUUUUGUUAACUUUAAAAAAGGGCAAUUAUCACCGCUGCAUAAUUUACAAAGAAGAGGGAGGAUCAAUGAAACGAGACCAUAUUUUGAUUGUUUGUAAAAAUAAAACUCAAUGAAUGCCUCGAGGUUUUACAUAAUUGAGAAUAUCGGAAUU